rnacentral:rRNA from 1 species
AUAAGCGGAGGARAAGACAACAGGGAUUGCCCCAGUAACGGCGAGUGAAGCGGCAACAGCUCAAAUUUGAAAUCUGGCCCCCUCUACGGAGGCCCGAGUUGUAAUUUGCAGAGGAUGCUUCUGGCGCGGCGCCUUCCGAGUUCCCUGGAACGGGACGCCACAGAGGGUGAGAGCCCCGUCCGGUCGGACGCCUAGCCUAUGUGAAGCACCUUCGACGAGUCGGGUAGUUUGGGAAUGCUGCCCUAAAUGGGAGGUAUAUGUCUUCUAAAGCUAAAUACCGGCCAGAGACCGAUAGCGCACAAGUAGAGUGAUCGAAAGAUGAAAAGCACUUUGAAAAGAGGGUUAAACAGUACGUGAAAUUGUUGAAAGGGAAGCGCUCAUGACCAGACUUGGGCCCGGGGGAUCACCCGGCGUUCUUCGCCGGGGCACUUCGCCGGCUGCCCAGGCCAGCAUCAGUUCGUGGCGGGGGACAAAGGCUUCGGGAACGUGGCUCCCUACGGGGAGUGUUAUAGCCCGCUGCGCAAUGCCCUGCCGCGGACUGAGGUUCGCGCUUCCGCAAGGAUGCUGGCGUAAUGGUCAUCAGCGACCCGUCUUGAAACACGGACCAAGGAGUCGUCUUCGUAUGCGAGUGUUCGGGUGUCAAACCCCUACGCGUAAUGAAAGUGAACGCAGGUGAGAGCUUCGGCGCAUCACCGACCGAUCCUGAUGUUCUCGGAUGGAUUUGAGUCAAGAGCAUACGGGGCCGGACCCGAAAGAAGGUGAACUAUGCCUGUAUAGGGUGAAGCCAGAGGAAACUCUGGUGGAGGCUCGCAGCGGUUCUGACGUGCAAAUCGAUCGUCAAAUAUGGGCAUGGGGGCGAAAGACUAAUCGA